CACGUAGGCCCCAAGCGUUGUCCGGAUUUAUUGGGCGUAAAGAGCUCGUAGGCGGUUCGGUAAGUCGGGUGUGAAAACUUUGGGCUCAACCCAAAGCCUGCACUCGAUACUGCUGUGACUUGAGUCCGGUAGGGGAGUGGGGAAUUCCUGGUGUAGCGGUGGAAUGCGCAGAUAUCAGGAGGAACACCGGUGGCGAAGGCGCCACUCUGGGCCGGUACUGACGCUGAGGAGCGAAAGCGUGGGGAGCGAACAGG
rnacentral:rRNA from 1 species